AUAGAUUUGAUGUUUGAAGUUGAUAUGGAAUUUUGCUCCAACUUGGAAAAUGAAGAAUAGAUGAUAACUAAUUGGGCAACCUUUUCCAUCCUUUGAUUGUUAAAUAAUGAUCAUCAUGUUGAUUUAUUAAGGAUAUUAGGUAAUUAGUUUGUAAUAAAUAAGUACAUAUGAUGUUGCAUUAUUUCCUAUUUAUUGAUAAAUAAAAAAAAUCUGGAUGUUAAGAGAAUCUCUGUUUUGUGUAAUAUUUCAUGGAUUUUUUUAUAUUCCAGUUCAUUAUUGAAUUUAUCUCCUACUGUGGCGUAUAGAUAUCUUCUCUUUAUUUUUAAUGCUCAAGUGGAGCUGAAGUGAAGCCAUAUCAUGGAACUGCGGCCAAUUUUCUUUUGGAAAUGA
rnacentral:misc_RNA from 1 species